GGAAUAUUGCGCAAUGGGGGAAACCCUGACGCAGCAACGCCGCGUGAGUGAGGAAGGUUUUCGGACCGUAAAGCUCUGUCGAGCGGGAAGAAAUGCAUGGUGGCUAAUAUCCAUCAUGCUUGACGGUACCGCUAAAGGAAGCACCGGCUAACUCCGUGCCAGCAGCCGCGGUAAUACGGGGUGUGCGAGCGUUGUUCGGAAUUAUUGGGCGUAAAGAGCGUGUAGGCGGCCGAAUAAGUCAGAUGUGAAAUCCCUGGGCUUAACCCAGGACGUGCAUUUGAAACUAUUCGGCUAGAGUAGGGGAGAGGAAAGUGGAAUUCCUGGUGUAGAGGUGAAAUUCGUAGAUAUCAGGAGGAACACCGGUGGCGAAGGCGACUUUCUGGCCCUAUACUGACGCUGAGACGCGAGAGCGUGGGUAGCAAACAG
rnacentral:rRNA from 1 species